CGCGCGCACGGAAACGCGCCCCGCGGGCCGCGGAGCGCGCAGGCGCCGCACUGGCGGAGGCGGCUCUUCCGCCCGCUCCGGCCCGGCCCGCCCCGCGAGAGCCCCGCCGUGCGGGGAUCGGGAGCUGUCCCAGUACUCAUGGGUAAGAGAAAGGAAGAAAGUGUUCUAACUCCUGGUUCCCAGAAAAGGCAGAGAAGAGAAUACACAGAUGUACAUAGUGAUGAGUCUAAUGAAGAAGAAACUUUAGAGUUCUCAGCGAGUAGUAGUGCCCCUUCACAGCUGCCUGACGGUGAGGUUGGGAUAAUUGAAAGUAUCCAGCUGAAGAACUUUAUGUGCCAUUCAAAUCUGGGGCCUUUUCAGUUUGGAUCAAAUCUCAAUUUUGUUGUUGGAACCAAUGGAAGUGGAAAAAGUUCUGUAUUAACAGCACUGAUUGUUGGACUUGGUGGAAAAGCCACUGCAACAAACAGAGGUUCCUCAUUAAAAAUGUUUAUUCAAAAAGGAGAGACUUCUGCAGAUAUUUCCAUAACUUUGCGAAACCAAGGAAGAGAUGCAUUUAAACCAGAAUUGUAUGGUACCUCUAUUAUUGUGAAUCAGCGCAUUAAUCAGGAUGGAAGCAGAACUUGCAAACUGAAAAGCAAAGCUGGGACCAUAAUUUCUUCAAAGAAAGAGGAACUCAUAGGAAUACUGGAUCACUUUAAUAUACAGGUAGAUAAUCCUGUGUCUGUUUUAACCCAAGAGAUGAGUAAACAGUUUUUACAGACUAAAAAUGAAGGGGACAAGUACAAGUUUUUUAUGAAGGCAACUCAGCUGGAACAAAUGAAAGAAGAUUAUUCAUUUAUUGGGAAAACAAAAAAAAAUACCCGAGUUCAGAUAGAACAAGGGGAAGAGCGUCUUGAAGAACUUAAGCAGCUUUAUUUGGAAAAGAAGGAAAUUUUCAAAAGCAUCGCAUUUGUGAAUGACAUGCAAAAUCGUCUCAAAGAUUUGAAACAUCAAAUGGCGUGGGCAGUGGUGAGUGAGAUGGAAAAAGAAGUAGAGCUGCUCAAAGAAGGCCUCAGAGCUGAAGAAGGAAAUACAGAGCUCCUUCAGAAGGUAGAGGAUUGCCAGGUAAAAGUGAAUGAAGCAGAAAAAAAGUACAAAGCAAUACAAGACAAAUUGAUAACAGUAAGUGAAGAAGCACAAGCCCUUCAUCCUCAAUGUAUUUCUUUGAAGGCAGAAGUGCAGGCAAAAAGAAAAACAGUCAAUGAAACUGAGAUCGUUUAUAAUCGUUCCAAAACGGAGUUAAAACGUCUGGAAAAAGACCGUGAACAGCUGCAUAAACGAAUUGAGGAACUGAAAAGCUGUGCUAAUCAGAAUUCAGAACCUGAGAAAUUGGAAAGACAAGGGAGAAUUGCAUACUUAAGGGAACAGUUAAAAGCAUUCCAUGAUGAAGAAAUAAUGAUUGGUCAGCAGUUGGAUCAGUUUCAGCAGGCUAUAUCUAAGUGUAGGGAAGAACAUUCUAGACUCAGGAGAGAACGCAGUGAAGUGCAACAAGCACUGGAUGCCCAGCAGAAACAGCUGAGAGACCUGAAAGAUAGUAAAACAAACACUUUGAAAAGAUUUGGACCACAUGUACCAGCAUUUCUUGAAGCAGUUGAAGUAGCCUAUAAUCAAGGACGCUUUAGAAAGAAACCUCUUGGACCUUUAGGUGCUUUGAUUCAUCCAAAAGAUCCUGAACUGAUCUUGGCUAUCGAGUGCUGUUUAAAAGGCCUUCUUCAGGCAUUUUGCUGUGAUAAUCAUAGUGAUGAAAGAACUCUUCAGUUCCUGAUGUCAAAAUAUUAUGCACCUGGACAUAGACCUCAAAUAAUUGUAAAUAAAUUUCAGAAUAGAAUUUAUGAUACUAGUCAGAGAGCUGUUCAUCAUCCAGAAUUCCCAUCAGUUCUGACAGCACUGGAAAUAGACAAUCCGGUGGUUGCCAAUUGUUUGAUCGAUAUGAGGAGUAUAGAAACAGUCCUGCUGAUUAAAAAUAGCCGUAGGGCUCGUGAGGUAAUGCAGUGCAAUCGGCCCCCGAGAAACUGUAGAGAAGCUUUCACUGCUGAAGGUGAUCAAGUAUUUGAACGACGCUAUUACUCUUCCAGUUUUGUCAGACCCAAGUUCCUAAGUCAAGAUGUUGAAGCAGAAAUCAGUCACUUGAAUAAGGAAAUUGAAAACAAAAGGGCACAGUUGACAGCCUCUCAGCAACGCUUGCAUUCCAUUGAAAACGAGAUCAGGCAGAAUGAAGAUCAUCUCUGUGGUCAUCGGCGACACCAAAAACAACUGCAGGUGAAAAUAAGAACAGCAAAUGCAGAGAUAGCAGAUCUUGAAAACGUGGAAGAGCACCAGUCAGCAGACAUCCAUAUAUUACAAGAUGAAGCUGAAGAAAAUAAGGCUAGGAUGGAAUCUGUGAAACAAGACAUGCAGCUACAAAGCAGAAAAAUGGAAGAACUGAAAAACAGUCUCCAAGCUGCUGAAAAAAAAUUAGAAGAGGUGAAAGAAAAAAUUCAUCAAGUGGAAGAAAUUGCUGGCCCAAUUAAGGCUGAAUUAAGCCAGGCUGAGUCAGAAGUGGAAAACAGUAAACGCCAUUUGCAGCACUAUGAAGAUAAACAGAGAGAACACGUGGCUUGCAUAAAUAAGCACAAAGAUUUACUAGUUUCCAAAGAAAAGGAAUUAGAGGAAAAAAUGGCAAAAGCAAGGCAAAUCUUCUCAGAGCCCAUCAAGGUCAGCAGAACUGUUAAAAGUCUUGAUGCAGAAAUGAAUCGCUUGAGAGAGAAGAUAAAUUUAGAAAGCAGUCACCGUGGAAACAGAGAAGAAAUAAUCCAGCAAUUUCAUUAUGCAAAGGAAAGAUACGAGGAUGCAAGCAAUAAAGUGAAGAACUUGAGGAGAUUUAUUGCAGUGCUGGAUGAAGUGAUGACAGAGAGGCUCAAAGUAUAUCGGCAGUUCCUAAGGAACCUUUCUAUGCAAUGCAAACUCCACUUUGAGCACUUACUACGUGUUCGAGGUUGCUCUGGACAUAUAAUUUUUGAUCACAAGAAUGAGACACUUUCCAUAACAGUUCAGCCUCGAGAGGAAGAAAAAUCUGCCCGUAGUGAUCUGAGAUCCUUAUCAGGAGGUGAACGUUCCUUCUCCACAGUUUGUUUCAUUCUUUCUCUGUGGAACAUUUCUGAAUCUCCUUUCAGAUGCAUGGAUGAAUUUGAUGUCUACAUGGAUAUGGUUAACAGAAGAAUUGCCAUUGACAUGAUUCUGGAGAGGGCUGAUUUUCAGCGGCAUCGACAGUUCAUUUUGUUCACCCCCCUGAGCAUGAGUUCUCUGCCUACGAGUCCCCAUAUUCGAAUCCUCCGCAUGCCAGACCCUCCAAGAGACCAAAGAACACUGAAUUUCCAAAAUAGGAAUGACGGAGAUGAAGAUCAAUAACUAUCUCUGAACUUGAAAUUUUUGGCAACUUCAAAAAAAACCCACUUUUUAGAGUUCAGCUGCAUUUCUUUUUUUGUUGUUGUUUUGGGGGAUUUUUUUGUUGUUGUUUGAUGUUACAUGGCUGCAAGAGCCAUUGAGACUACUCAGAGAACGACAUUCAACAGUUUCUGCACUUUUUUACUGAAUAGCAGUUCCUCAAUAAAACCUUAUCACAGUGCACUGAGUCUGUUUCCCUCUCCUGGCAGACCUCGGACAGCCCAGGGUAAUGGGCAGACUCCAGGCAGCUGUGAGGAGGUUACUGACAGAGAGAACCAGGCUUUUUGUUAAUGUGCAUGCUGCAAGAGACAGACAGAGGUCAUCAACUGAACUGGGAAGGGUCUGGCUCAGCAAACCAGGAGGGAUUGUUCAUGAUGAAGGUAAGAGGUAUUUGAGCAUGUUACACAAACAGGCUGUAAAAUCUCUGUCCUUGGAAGUUUUUGGAGUCUGUUGAAGAGACUCCUGCAUCUCCUUCAAGAAGGGAGCUGGACAAGAGACCUGUGAAGGUUCUUGCCCAUCUAAACAAUUCUAUAAUUCCAUAAUUCAAGAUACUUACACCUUUAGGAUUAUGUGAAGAUACGGGGGGCACCUUACAAAGUGCAUGCUUGGCAAAACUUGUCUGGAAGCAGCAGGUCGAGGGAGGUGGUUCUACUGCUCUGCUCUGCUGUUGUGAGUCCUGCCUGGAGUACUGCCCCCAGCUCUGGGGUCCUCUGCAUUGGAAGAGCAUGGACCUGUUGGAGCAGAAUUAGAGGAGGCCACAAAGAUGCUCAGAGGGCUGGAGAACCUCUGCUGUGGAGACAAACUGAGAGUUGUGUCUGUUGAGUUCAGAGAAGGCUGCAGAAAGACCUCAUGGCACCUUCCAGUACUUAAAGGGGCUACAAGAGAACUGGAGAGGGAUUUUUUACUAGGGCCUGCAGUGACAGGACAAGGGAGGGUGGCUUUUAACUGACAGGUAUUAGAUUUAGAUUAGAUAUUAGGAAUAAAUUCUUUAUUGUGAAGGUGAUAAAGCAUUGGAAUAGGUUGCCCAAAGAAGUUUUGGACAGCCCAUCUCUGGAAGUGCUCAAGAUCAGGCUGGAUGGGGCCCUGGGCAACCUGUUUUAAUGCAAGAUGUGCCUGCAGGGGGUUGGAACGGAAUCAUCCCUACGGUCCCUUUCAACCCAAACCAUUCUUUGUUUCUAGGACAUGACCAUGAGCCACAUGACGAGCUUGACUCGAUUUUAUAAUGAAAUUGGAGUAGGUUUUAGACCUUUUUAUAGUAUGAGAUAAAAUGGCAUUGCAUUAUUUCCUACUGAUUCUCUUCAGUAUCCAAAAACCAAAAAUGGCAACAGUGCAGAGGCAGGAAAGAGUAAAGCAUUUAUCUUCAUUAGUCUUCUAUAAUGAGUUGUGUGGAGAAAAGAGAUUAAGGAAAAUGAAUGCAUUCCUACUGAGCUAACACUUCAGCUUUCUCCCAAGCUUUUAUAGACCUACUUGAAAUAUUGGAGGACAUGGCAACAAUUCUGGUCUUUUGUUCAAAUCAGUACUUUGUAUUUAUUCUAAUCGACCCCUGUACUUGAUGAAGAUGUGUUCCUAACUAUAUAAUUAUUAUAAGCAUAUUUUCAUGGUGGAGAAUUAAUUCAGAAUAAACAAUUACUGAAGCCCUUGCAUGGAUACACUUAUUUUUGCAGUGAUCCUACUAAGGUCUCAAAACUAACAUAUUCUUGGUUCUUUAAAGACAGAGUUUAAUGUAGUGGCUACCUGGAGAGAAGACUGCAGUGCUGAUGCUACAUUUUUGAGUUUGUGUUUUUGAGUUGUUGGUCAUUUUGGAUGGCAGUGCAUUGCUUAAUGCUGCACUAAAGUAAAUGGAGCCUGUCUAGACACAUAAAUUCAAUGUGCAGGGAAACAUAGAAUGAGAAAUUGCUUCUCAUGUAUGUAAACCAGAGGCAUAAAAUCUGAGAAGUAUUCAAUGUGGGCAUAUCAUUCUCAGAAGUGUGGAAUUUCUAGAAUGUGUAUUUAAGUCAUGGCCAAACACAUGAAGUACACUCCUCUUAAUUUGCUCAGACUAUUAUAUGUGUAGCCUAAGUAAAAUUCUGGCGUAGAAAAUGUACUUGACAUUUCUGGUUUUGCUGUUUGGAAUACAAAGCAACCCAAAAAUGACAGUAUGGCUGUGGUUUUGGCAGCCAUUGAUUCUGUGAUCCCCCCCCAAAACAAACCUUAACAAGCUGUGUAAAACUUUUUGUUGCUUGUUUUCUUUUCCCUUUAAUUUUAAGAUGAGCUUUACUUUUUAAAUUUGAAAAUACAGAGAAUUACUUGGUUUGUGCCAUAUUUUAUUGGUUGAUUUUUAGCUAUUAAAUGUAGGGUCUUGUUUCUUCAUAAGGUAAGGAAGAAAUAUCAAACAUGCAAUUGUAAGGUGUUCAGAUUGCUUUUUUUUUUCUUUUAAUCCAGCAAGAAACCAACUGUUUAAAGCAUCAGAGAAAUGGGGCAUAGGAAGGUUUUUAAUCUGCAAUUUCUGCAGUAUGAUAGUUCUUCAUUCUCUCCCAGGACUGUGCAGAAUUUGUCACAGGAUAGAGAGAAACUUGAUUUGUGCACUUAGAAUUGAAGAGGAAGUUGGUUCUCCUCACUAUCCCUCUUUUAUCAUCAUACUUCAUGGUUAAUUUAUCAGUAGUGAUUUUUAACAUCAUCUCUAUUUAUAUUAAACACAGAGUAGUUUAGUGUCACAUGGCAAGAGGGAAGUAUCUUACUGCAGGAGGGAAAAAACAUUAAAAACCAGGUUUAAGCUGAGCAAAUAAACUGUAUUUCACUUACACAGCUUAAAAAUCAGGACAGGUUUAGUAGCUGUGCUGGUAAAUCUUAGCAGUAGCAUCUUAGAGCAUCAACAGCUGCUCCAGCCUUAAAUACAAGAACUACAACUUUUGGUUUUGUAUAAUAUGACUCUUCUAGUGAGUGAGUGUAAAGUAGUUUUCUUCAUGCUUCAGUAAUGAAAUACAUAUUUCCCAGUGUGUAGUGACAGAUAAUUAAAGAGAUUGAACUUUUUCUUUUUUUAUUACCAUGCUGAAGACAUGAAAUAAGAAUUAGGGGAAAAGGUCAAAUGUUAUAAAUUUAUUUUGGGACAUAUAUAUUGCAACCUCUGUGGAAGCUUUUGAAAAUUCUGGCAAAGAUCAAUACACUUCCAAUAAAACCUUUAAACUUGCAAUAAAACAAUAUUUUAAACAUUAUAUAUAUAUAUAUUUAUAUAUAUUCUUAAUUAAAGGGUUAAUUUUAGCAGGAUUUUCUUUUUUUUUUUUAA